GAGGAUGCUGUAUUUUGUCAAAUGCUUUCUCUGCAUCUAUUGAGAGGAUCAUAUGGUUCUUGUCCUUUCUUUUACUGAUGUGAUGAAUCAUGUUAAUUGUUUUGUGGAUACUGAACCAGCCCUGCAUCCCAGGUAUAAAUCCCACUUGGUCGUGGUGAAUAAUUUUUUUAAUGUAUUGUUGGAGCCGGUUGGCUAAUAUCUUGUUGAGGAUUUUUGCAUCCAUAUUCUUCAGGGAUAUUGGUCUAUAGUUCUCCUUUUUAGUGGGGUCUCUGUCUGGUUUUGGAAUCAAGGUAAUGCUAGCUUCAUAGAAAGAGUUUGGAAGUUUUCCUUUCAUUUCUAUUUUUUGGAAUAGCUUCAAGAGAAUAGGUGUCAACUCUUCCUUAAAUGUUUGGUAGAAUUCCCCCGGAAAGCCAUCUGGCCCUAGACUCUUGUUUUUUAGGAGAUUUUUGAUUACUAAUCUGAUUUCCUUACUGGUUAUGGGUCUGUUCAAAUUUUCUAUUUCUUCCUGUUUCAGUUUUGGUAGUGUAUAUGUUACUAGGAAUUUGUCCAUUUCUUCCAGAUUGCUCAUUUUAUUGGCAUAUAAUUGUUCAUAAUAUUCUCUUAUUAUUGUUUUUAUUUCUGCUGUGUUGGUUGUGAUCUCCCCUCUUUCAUUCUUGAUUUUACUUAUUUGGGUCCUUUCCUUUAUCUUUUUGAUCAGACUGGCUAGUGGUUUAUCAAUUUUGUUAAUUCUUUCAAAGAACCAGCUUCUGGUUUUAUUGAUCUGCUCUACUGUUUUUUUGGUUUCAAUAACAUUAAUUUCUGUUCUAAUCUUUAGUAUUUCCUGUGUUCUGCUGGUUUUGGGUUUUAUUUGGUGUUCUUUUUCCAGCUCCGUAAGGCAUAAGGUUAGGUUUUUUAUCUGAGAUCUUUCUUCCUUCUUUAGGAAGGCCUGGAUUGCUAUAUACUUUGCUCUUGUGACUGCCUUUGCUGUAUCCCAGAAGUUUUGGGUUGUGGUGUUAUCAUUUUCAUUGACUUCUAUAUACUUUUUAAUUUCCUCUUUAACUUCUUGGUUAGCCCAUUCAUUCUUUAGUAGGAUGUUCUUCAGUCUCCAAGUAUUUGUUACCUUUCCAAAUUUUUUCUUGUGGUUGAUUUCAAGUUUCAUAGCGUAGUGGCCUGAAAAUAUGCACAUAUGAUCUCGAUCUUUUUGUACUUACUUAGGGCUGACUUGUGUCCUAGUAUAUGGUCUAUUUUGUAGAACGUUCCAUGUGCACUAGAGAAGAGUGUAUAUUCUGCUGCGUUAGGUUGAAAUGUUCUGAAUAUACCUGUUAAGUCCAUCUGGUCCAGUGUGUCAUUCAAAGCCAUUGUUUCCUUGUUGAUUUUUUGAUUAGAUGAUCUGUCCGUUGCUGUGAGUGGGGUGUUGAAAUCUCCUAUGAUUAUGGUAUUACUAUCAAGGGGUUUCUUUAUGUUUGUGAUUAAUUGAUUUAUAUAUUUGGGUGCUCUCACAUUUGGCACAUAAAUGUUUACAAUUGUUAGGUCUUCUUGGUGGAUAGACCCCAUUAUGAUAUAAUGCCCUUCUGCAUCUCUUGAUACAGUCUUUAUUUUAAAGUCUAGAUUGUCUGAUAUAAGUAUGGCUACUGUGGCUUUCUUUUGUGGACCAUUAGCAUGAUAGAUGGUUCUCCAUCCCCUUAUUUUCCAUCUGAAGGUGUCUUUAGGUCUAGAGUGGGUCUCUUGUAAACAGCAUAUAGAUGGAUCUUGUUUUCUUCUCCAUUCUGUUACCCUAUGUCUUUUGAUUGGAGCAUUGAGUCCAUUGAUGUUUAGAGUGAGUACUGAAAGAUACGAAUUCAUUGCCAUUAUGUUGCUUGUGGAGUUGGAGUUUCUGGUGGUGUUCUCUGGUCCUUUCUAAUCUUUGUUGCUUUUGGUGUGUGUGUAUGUAUGUAUGUAUGUAUGUAUGUAUGUAUGUAUUUGUAUUUUCAUCUUUUCUCCCCUGAGAGUGUCCCCCUUAAAAUUUCUCGCAGGGCUGGCUUAGUGGUCACAGACUCUUUUAAUUUUUGUUUGUCUGGGAAACUUUUUAUCUCUCCUUCUAGUUUGAAUGACAGCCUUGCUGGAGAAAGAAUCCUUGGCUGCAUAUUUUUCUGAUUCAGCACACUGAAUGUAUCCUGCCACUCCUUUCUGGCCUGUCUGGCCGGUCAAGUUUCUGUGGACAGGUCUGCUGCAAACCUGAUCUGUCUUCCGUUGUAGGUUAGGGACUUUUUUUCCCUUGCUGCCUUCGUGAUUCUCUCCUUGCCUGAGUAUUUUGUGAAUUGACUAUGAUAUGCCUUGUUGAUGGUUGGUUUUUGUUGAAUCUAAUGGGGGUCCUCUGUGCUUUCUGGAUUUUGAUGUCUGUGUCUUUCCCCAGGUUAGGAAGGUUUUCUGCUAUGAUUUGCUCCCAUAACCGUUCUAAGCCUAUUUCUCUCUCUUCCUCUUCUGGGACCCCUAUGAUUCUGAUGUUCCUUUUUAAUGAGUCACUGAUUUCUCUAAUUUGCAAAUUGUGCUCUUUUGCCUUCAUCUCCCUCGUUUUUUCUGCUUCAUUAUUCUCCAUAAGUUUGUCCUCUGUAUUGCUGAUUCUCUGUUCUGCCUCAUCCAUCCUUGCCACCACGGCAUCCAUUCGUGAUUGCAGCUCACUUAAAGCAUUUUUUAUUUCAUCCUGACUAGUUUUUACUUCUUUUAUCUCCGCAGAAAGGGAUUCUAAUCUUUUUGACUCCAGCUAGUAUUCUUAUUACCGGAUUCUAAAUUCUGGUUCAGACAUCUUGCUUGUAUCUGUGUUGGUCAAGUCCCUGGCUGUCGUGUCUUCCUGCUCUUUCUUUUAGGGUGAAUUCCUUCGUUUUGUUAUUUUGCAGAGAGAAAAAGAAUUGAGGUAGAAAAAAUUAAAAUUAAAAAUAUUAAAACUAAAAAAUUAAAAACACACACAAAAACAAUUGAAUAAAUGAUUAUAGAUCCUAGGUGUGUUUUGGCUGGGGUGUUGUAAUUGGCUUGAGAGACUAGAGAAAAAAGGGGAAAGAAGAAAAAAAAAGAAAUCGUUUGACAAUUUGAAAAUAUGAAUACACUGAAGUAGACUAAAAUGAGAUGAUGGGAGUAAACUAGAAUUUGAAAAAAUUUCCACAAAAGUAAAAAAUAUAGUAGAAAAAAAGUAAAGAAAAAUAUUUUUAAUAAAAAUUACAAAUGAAAAUGAAUUUUUUCCCUUUCUGUAUUCAAGAAAAAGAAAAGAAAUGAAAAGAGAAAAAAGAGGGAAAAAAGAAGGAAAUCAUUUGAAAAUUUGAAAAAGUGAAUACAUUGUAGUAGACUAAAAUAAAAUGAUGGACGUAAAAUAGAAUUUGAGAAAAUUUAUAUAAAAGCAACAAAUAUAGUAAAAAAUUAAAGAAAAAUAUUUUUAAUAGAAAUUGAAGGUAAAAAUGAAAUUUUUCUUUUUCAGCAUUCAAGAAAAAGAAAUGAAAAAGAGAAAAAAGAAAAAAAACAAAAGGAAAUCGGUUGAAAAUCUGAAAAAGUGAAUACACUUAAGUAGACUAAAAUAAAAUGAUGGAAGUAAAAUAGAAUUUGAAAAAAUUUACACAAAAGUAAAAAAUAUAGUAAAAAAAGUAAAGAAAAAUAUUUUUAAUAAAAAUCGAAAAUAAAAAUGAAUUUUUUCUCUUUCUGUAUUCAAGAAAAAGAAAAGAAUGAAAAAGAGAAAAAAAAGAAAAUUGAAUAGAUGGACCUGCUAACAGAUUGCUAUAGGACUGAAAUUACUCGUUUUUUCCUAGAAGUCAGUCUAUGUAGCGCUUUAUAGUCCAUAAACUAGGCGAUGAGAGUUGUGUUCUUGAAGAGCGAGAUUGGCACAGUUGGGGAAGGUUUAGUGUAAUCACUCCCUUCUCCACUAGAUGGCGCUGCUAGCCUACUGGGGUGGAGUGCUGUGGUGCUGAUAGGUGCAUAUGCGCAUGCGCCGCAGAGGUGAAAAUGGCGUCACCCAGUUAUCUGGUCUCUAGUAUGGGAAUUCUGUUCUCUCUGAUCAGCAGUCGCACACCCGUCCUCUGUCUUCAGCUUUCAUCCACUCCCCGCUUCUUCACUGUCCGUGACCAAGCCCCAGGCAGUACCUCUCUCCCGAGUUUUGUUUCAGAUGCGGCUGUUUUCCCCGGCCCCUUCUAAAGGAACUCGGCUUUGACCCGCUCCGCCCCUCUGCAGGAGGGUCUCACAGAGCAAUGGCCGAAUGAGCAAUGGCCGAAUGCCGGCUGCACCCAGGAACGCUUGCUGGACCCUGCUGCUGCCGGUGCCCCAAGACUUUGGCCAGGUGCCAGCCCGCCCCAGAAAAAGUUCGUGAGAUAGUGUAGCAGCAGCUUUUCAGGGAUUAUGGAAAAUCACAACACACAUCUGGUACCAGGCUUCACCCUUAACGACCUUGUUACAGCACCAGCGAAUGUGGCCAUUUUCUGGGGUCUGCUGGGACCAGGUGGCUUCAACCGUCUCUACCAAAUGUCAUUCCAGCAAUGGAACCGCUUUUCCCCGUGUGGCCCGCGAGAACCUCCUGGACCCCACUCCAUUCCUGGGGAUUCGCCUUUCCCACCAGAGCACUGCCAGAGUUAAUGGCUAUCCCUCAUGCUGCCACAGGAACCUUCUUUUGCCCUUCAUCUGUCCUCCCUCCACGUCAGGGAGGAGAAACUGAAUACGGGGGAACACAGAAUGAGGACCCAGCGGGUGGACUAUAUGGUGCACAUCCCCUUCCUCCUGUGGCUCCUCGAUCUCUUUCAUCCAACAUUGCUGAAAAUGACCCCCACUGGGUUGCAUUUGGGCCAGGAGCCUCAGCUGGAUAUGUGAAAUGUCAAGGGUUCUAUGUCUACGGAUCAUAAAAAUGGCAAAAGAGACUGGAAAAUGUCUGCUCACAUGCCCUGGGCCAACAUGGAUUUAAGGAAAACACAUCCAUUCUUCCGGCCAUCAGUGCAGUCUGGAAGCCAUCACAAGCCUGUAAGUUUUACUACUUUAUUUUGGAUCCAUCACGGAGAAGAAGCCUGCUGCCAAGCUGACUGGCACACAUGGAGCCCUUACGUGCCAGGGCAUGAAACUAGUCUGCUGAAUGAGGGCCCAGGCUGUAAAUGAGUAUCUGAGUUGAGAACAUCACCAGGAUCAGCAGAAAGGAGCCCAUAAACUGACGUGAACCAGAAGGCAGAGCUGAGCCUGAACUGUAAUUCCGCAUGUGUCCAGAAUCUGGUAUUAGGGAUUAAUCCCUGGGGUUGUGACUGGAAGUAGAGGACAGGGUUUGUCUUUGAGCAAACAGCAGGUGAUUCUUUGGCAGGCAAGAACUUUGUAGAAAGCCGUAUCAUCUGCAUCAUGACCAGGUUCUCGGUCCUUGAAGAAUUAGCAGGGGAUUUGCCUGAUUCCACAGAGCAGUGCUAUCCAUCAAUCUGAACGGUGUCAAUGACCCAUUUCUCCGGUGUGACCCAAGGCAGCACAAGUCUCUCUUUCCCUUUCUUUGAUGUCUCCAACAACGAGGAGGGUUGGAUUUCUCCAACCCUGGGGCGGCCACUUCAGGUCACCUGCAGAUGCAGUGGACAUUUCCCUUGCAGCAGGUGUACCGGACCACGUUAGCAUGUGAUGCAGAAGGGACCUGUGGAACCAGGCCUUCGUGCUGCUAAAUUCACCUCAGCUGAAAGACCUCCUUGUGCCUCUCUGCCUGGUGAUGCCAGUCUCCACAGAGGCCCCCAUGGACCUUCUGCAGUGCAGACAUCGAGUCCGUCACUGUCAGAUGGUAUUUGUGAGUGUGGGGCCGCCGCGGUGCUAAGUGCUGUGGGUUUUUGCCAAGAAGGGUGGAGGUGGCUAAUAACUCCUGAACCUGAAGAGUUUAUAGUCCCGUGGCUCUCCUCCGGAUCUGUUCCACUGCCCCACCACGCUCCGCCCCUCCGGGGUACGGAUUCCGCUUCUCGCUCCGUCUCUAGUUUUAAUACAUUAUUUAGCAACGUGGACCAUUCAAAUCAACCAGAGUUGUUAAGUGUUGUGCAUAAUGAAUACCAAACAUAAAUAUUUGAUCAGUGCUGCUGUCCUGUUAUUCACUGAGCUGUUAACCUUCAGCUAAUAGGCUUGUGCCAAUUCACCCCCAGUCAUCAAUCUUCAGCAACAACUGUACGGCCGUUUGCACCAGGCCCUGGUGACUACUAGGGCAUCUGGGAUGGCACUAAAGGGAGCCCCACCCAGGUGAGGCCGUGGCCAACACAGCAUUGUAGAAAUAUGGCUGGAUUGGAUAUUUGACUAUUUGCAGUGUCUUUGCAGAAAGUGGCACCAUUUCCGUGUUUUUUUUUUUUUUCAUUGUUUUUUAAAAUUCUCUGGGAGUUAGAAGUUUUGGAACAUGGAAGGCAGGGUGCUGUUGCUUCUCUGCUACAAGUCUGCUGAAUGACCUUGAGCCCUAAAGUCACAGCUGCUCUAUACCUCAGUCUCCUUAUGUUUAGAAAUAUUCUCUCCAACUCAAAUGCUUAUGGGUCAGUUUAGAUAGUAGAGUUCCUACAGAAGAUGAGCUUACAAUUUCCUUUUGGUGUAUUUUGUUUUCUUAAUAUCCCACAGAAAUCUUUCUCUUUCACAGCUGUAUAGAUUACUCCAUCUAAAUAAUAAAAAUAAAUUACUUGCACUUGGUUGGAGGGGAUUUUAAGAGGCCUCCUGAGGUUGCUUCUGGUUCAGGGGCCCAAAGGGACCAGGUGACUGUGGCAGGGAUAGAGGCAGCCAGUCCCUGCCAGUGAGAGAAGUACCUCUUACCGCUUGUUCCCUCCCCCACCCCCAACACGAGCUUGUACAAAACAGGGCAGAUCACUGUUCCUUUCUGUAGACGUGUCAUCUAAGGAUGCCUAGGUGCGGGCGCUGCUCUUGCCUGCUGACUCGCUGCCUGUAGCGGGUGUCACAGCAUGGCACGCACUGCAAUGUUGUGCUUUUUGGGGCAGGGGAAAGUGAGCAGGCCUGCUCUGUGAUUGAGACCGUGCCAAGUCCAGAGCUCACAGGAAGGAACCACGCUUCCUCCAGGCAGGCUCAACAGAGCUGGGGGAAAGGGGGUGCAGGAGCAUUUCCCAUCUGUUCUACUGGAGACAAGCACCCACGUUAUCUCGGAGGUGGGGUUGUGCAAAGGUGAUCUGCUCGUUAAUGUACCUGGGUCAUUGCAGGAGUCCUGGGAAAAGUCAGAAAGGUCCUUUUUGCUGCAAUCUAGAGAAGGGUGCCAUACUCUCCGGCUGGGGGUUACGUGCCCUUAUUCAACCAGGGUGCAUGGCACUGUUGUCUGCUCAGGGUGCUAACAUGCGCACCGUGUCUCCACUUGUAAAAUGCAGCCCACUCUUUAUGAAUCAACACAGCUGUUUGUCUGUCUGGGGCAGAAGGGCUUGGGUUCCCUCUCUGAACACCCUCCUCACCAGCAGGUCUGGUGGGGGCUUGGCCAGUGAAAUGACAUCUUCACGGUCAGGCUAUACCAGAGGGUUUAAAUCAGGAGUCCUAGUCCCUGGGAAAACAGCCACACCUUAUCUAAAGAGGUCAAUCUCCUCAAUGGGAAUACUGCCAAUGCUGGUGAUUCAUAAGCACACAUCCCAGAUUUAGAAAACCAUGUCUGGCCAGGACAGUGUCUCGCUCACACUCCCUCAAACACACUAAUAGAUACCAGCAACCUCUUCACCUCCCCCCUCAGAACACCCACAGGCGGGGAAACCAAAACAAGGGCACGCUGGACCCUGCCUCUUCCAUCUCUACUGAAAACAGGCCACUGGCUGGCACUGAUCCUCCCAGUGGUCAAGGCCAGAGGCCCUUUUGCCUUUGGUGGACUAAUCAGUUUCUCUUCUGACAAGCCCUGUUUCAAGGGUUGUUCUGUGUUUAGAAGGUAUUAGCAUUUAGCAGGAGCCCUGCCUCCCCCACUUCGGGGCUCAGAAAACCUCUCCAAUCCCUCCCCAAUCCCUCUGUUAAGGUCCUCAAUCACAUUUCUCUAUCCCCGUACAGUGGUCACUAGGUGACCCACUAGGGCAAGUUCAACACAACCAUUUUUAUGGAAAUUAUUAUAACCAAUAUUAAUUUAGAUUUAUAUGUGCCAGGUAUUGUGAUAAUAGAUGUAUACGCUGGAAUUCAUUCAAUUGUCUCAAGGCCCUAGGACACAGACACUGUUAUUAAUUAGCCUUAUUAUAUUGAUGAGGGAAUUGGUGCUUAGAGAAAUUAGGCACUUGCCCAAGGUCACUGGGAGGGUAAAUCAAACACAAGAUGUUAACCACACUGUACUGCCUUCCCAACCACCGAGCAAGCUCGGCCACAACAUCAAGGAAACAGGGCGACCAGGGCCAAGAAUCGUGGCCCUCUGGUCAGGUUAUCCAACCCUGUGUUUGUACCACCUCUUCGGAGGGGGACGCCCACACGGAUGACCUCUGGGUAUUGUCUACUCCACCUUAGGAAGAGUGAUUUCAGACUUCCUUGGUAACCUGCUUCAUGAUCUAAUCACGAACCUACACUCUGGUUUGAGCAGAAUGUUAUCAGUGCGCUGAAUGCUCCCUUCUGUGUGGUAAGGGACAAGAGAGACCUGCCUGCACUAACAUUCUUCCCAGACUGAAGACAAUUAAAAAACUAUUCCCUUUAGCUUUCUCUUCCCCAAAUCAACACUUUGAAUGUUUCUCCAGACUUCCGCUGCCCAUCCCCCAUGUAAACCACAAGAUUCGCUGUUGUUACAGAAGUGAAACUGGGGCGGGAAUUCUAGCAUUUCCAUCUCAUUAUUAUUUCUGUAUCACAAAGGCGGGAGAAGGGACCUUAAAUCUGAGCUCCCUCUCUCUGUGACAAGUGGCAAGCAAGGGUCUGACCUCCAGCAGGCCUGCCUGCAUUUUUGGCCACAUCUGGCCAAUUCUCCUCCAGGGAACCCCAAAUGGGCCCCCGAGACGGGCGUGCAGUAAGACCCCGUCACAAAAGAGAACCUGAUGACACAGAAGACAGGUCUGUGCAAGGGGGAAGCAGGAAGGGAAGGCAGGAAGCAUCCGCUGGGAUUCGGAUCCGCAGUCAGGCCUGGGCAUGAGCCCCUGGGAGAGGCCAGCUAGCCUCAGCUGGGGACACUUAUCUCACUACUUUUCAGGUUGUCUGUUCUUGUUUCUUCCACAGAAAUGGGGUUUUCUGUUGAAGCAAAUUAAUUUUUUCCCCAAAGGUCACCUAAAAAAGCAGAUCUGAAAGGCUGGAGCAUGAGUCAGAGAUGCCAACAGUUAUCAGCAGAGGUGGUUUCUGGAAACCUGAAUUCCAAUCCCUAGCCAGACAACUACCCUUUGACCUAAAGCACAAGAUCAGCAAUAAAUCCUCUUUAUCACCUGACCAACACGGCAGCUCUUUCCUUUGGUUUUCAACUGCCUCAGAGAGCGGGAUGCCAAUAAAAACUCCCCUUUCCCCUUCUGAAAGGCACGUUCUUAGGGAGCGUGUGAAUGUGCAUGUGUGCGCCUGUGGUCACGUGGGAACUGCCAUGCCCUGGAUCCAGGGCAGGUAGGAACCCUGCGGGCAGCUCUGCGUGAGUCAGGUCAGCCUGAGAGAUGCAAGGCCUCUUACAGAGGGGCAACCAGCCCUGAGGUGCACAGUGUCCUGGGACUAAAGCUUGCUUUUCAUACAGUGAAGAGAUAAGAACACAGGAUGCUAGGCUCAUGGCCGUGACCGGAAAAGGACGGCAAGGAAAAGUAAGCAUGAGCAGCCCAAAGUCCUUUUUCCAGCACUGGCCAAGGGAGGAUGGAUAUUCUUAGGUCUGACCUCCCCUACCCCCCAUCCUGUUCCCUGAAACUUGAGCCCUAAAAUUCUGGGAAGGAACUAAAGAUGGUCCACAUUUUCCGAAGAUCCAGAUCCAAGGUCAGAGACAGAGAUAAAGGCAUCAGAAAGGAGAUACACAAAGAAACAGGUACAAGAAAUCUUUCAUGAUUCUGGUACUUACUAAAACAGCAGGUUGCAUAACGAGGCCAAAUAAAAAAUGGCUGGAUUUUGUAUCUUCCACCAUGGGAAAUGCACUGACAUGAGUUUCUUGGAGCCCAAGCUCCCUGACCACCCGGAGUGGAGACCUCUGCCCCUCGGCGGGACCCACCUUGUGUGCAGUUUCCGCAAACUGCUGGGCGCUGUUCUUCAUGUCUUCCGUCUUCUCCUCUGCUCGGCCUAACCGCUCCCCACGCUCGUUCAAGGCCUGGCUCGCUUUCUGUACGGCGCUGGUCACGCUAUCGGCUGCCGAAUGGAGGAUGCUGUUUCCUGAAGAAGCACAGCAAGAGCAUCAGAGGCUACCGUGGCUGACCUACAGCAACAGAGCCCUGCGAGGGGUUAGCACCUGUAAGAGCAAGGAGGGCCCCUACAGAGAAGCCUCGAGUGUCUAGGAAUGAGUCAACAUUUCUUCUGAUCUGGUCUGACUGCUCAUGUGUAGGAAGAGAACCCACAGCCUGCAGGGCUUGGGCAAAUGCUGACAGCUUCUCUCAUAUCCCCUUCACUGACACAGCCCUCACUGCCACUCUACCGCCAUUUUGUUUGGUGAGGAUCCAAAGGACGGGGUCCAUCUGGAUUUAGGACUUGCCUUGCAAAAGGAAAUUCUUUUUAUUUUUUUUAUUAAAAAAUUUUUUUUAUAUCUUUAUUUAUUUUUGAGAGAGAGACAGAGUGUGAGCAGGGGAGGAGCAGAGAGAGAGAGGGAGACACAGAAUCUGAAGCAGGCUCCAGGCUCUGAGUGGUCAGCACAGAGCCCGACGCGGGGCUCGAACUCACGAACCGUGAGAUCAUGACCUGAGCCGAAGUCAGACACUCAACCGACUGAGCCACUCAGGUGCCCCACAAAAGGAAAUUCUGACAAAUUCAUAGAAUUAGGCAAAUUUGAUGAGGCUUAUCUGGAUCUUUUGCGCAUUUCCUCUUGGCUUGGGAUUUAGGUGAAAACCCACAGGAAAAGGGGCACAGAACUUUUCCAGACAGAAUGCUCUCUUCUUUUCAACUCCUCUCUUCCAUUUUACCCCAUUAUCCCUAGAUGCAUGGUUUCAUGUGAGAAGCUGUCAAACAGUCCCAAAGUUCAGAGACAGGCCAGCUCCCAACCUUGAAUCCUGAGUCAAAACCUGGUUGGCUGGGCCACUGUUGGUCAGGUGAAAGGGCAAAAUGUGGAUUAUGGGAGCCAUGGGUCCUCAACACUGCACUUAGCCAGGAGGUAGAGAACAGUGACAGUAACCAGCCUUAGAAGUAACUGGGCACUUCCCGAUUCAUGAAAAAAUCGAAAACCGUCACAUCUCAAAGGAUUAUACAUCCCUGCCAUCCCAUUUGCCAGGACUGAAAACAGAAUUUAACAGUGAAGAACUGGCAGGUGUAUAACCCACUGAGAACCAGCGACUUGCAGAAUUACAACCCAAGGAGAUAUAUAGCUGUAUUUUGUUAACACUGAGUGGAAGAUAUUUAAUGGCAUUUUAUGUAAUGGCUUUAUGUCUUUGAAUAAGUUUAUUACAUCAUUUAACUUUGUACUUGGGAUGGAUACAUCUAGCCACAGACAGCUUUUAAUAGAAAUGUCAUUUCCACUGGUCUCAGCUGUAAAGUCUUCCUAAUUUCUCCUCUGUGGGAAAAGUCUGUGGUUUGUGGAACAGACUCUCAGGCAAAGAAAGUGCCUGGCCCAUAGGAAGCAUUUUGCAAAUUGUUUCCCAUUUUUCUUCUUUAGGAGUAGAUUUUAAGGGCUUCUGCUGUGUGCUAAGGGGAGAAGAAUGGGGUUAACUUAGUAUUACUCAGUUGCAGCAAGCACUCCAUGAGCCAAGAUAAAUUAACAGAUUAAUAGGGACUACUGGAGAUGGGGCUCUGGAGGAAUCUUGUUGAAUGCAAUGACUGGAUGGAAAGCCUAGGUCUUCAGAACAGAUUUACGAGAAGAAAUCUUGGUCCCCCUCUCCUUCCACACCGCAUGACUAUGAAGAUAGACUCUUAGUCCACUGCCUAACAUGUGAAUGGCAUUUUGCAGUCAUAAGGCACCUUCACAAAUAUCUCAUUUGAGUGUCACACAAAUUCUAUUGAGAAGACUGAGACUGGUUGAGGUUAUGUGGCUUGCACAAAAUCAUAUUGCUAGGGAAGCAGCAUGGCCAGCACUGGAACCUGAUUUUCCAAUGACUUUUCCUUAUUCUGUACCAUCCUCUUUGCAGAUAUGGUGUAGGCUGUGGGAAACAAUACAAAAGACAGAAUUGUGAGCAGAUUAGCACAGACAGAUGCUGACAGGUUAUUUCCCAAGGUAAUGCCUGACUGUUUCUGUCCUUAAGGUAUUCCUCUUGGUUAAUGAAGAGCUAUUCACCUGUGCUGCAUUGUAAGUCAAGUGGUCUCAAGAGAAAGAGGUCAGUGGGAUGGAAUGGGAAGAUGGAAGGGCCUGGAAGGUGCAUAGUGGUGGGGGCACUUAAGUUGCCUUCCUUUCUUGCUUCUUCUCACAAACCCACAGCUUAGCCACCAGAGGCUACAGAAAACACGGGGCAGGGAAUCUGCAAGCUUACAGCAGGAACAGCUACAUCAAGCCAAAGAGAUUUUAGAAUUAGCUACCAUAAAAUUAAGAAGGUAUAUAACCAGGACUUGUCUUUUCCCAUUGAAUUGGACUCUCAUGAUGUCUACAAAGUUAGACACAUUCGUGUUUCUGGAGUGAAUCUGCUAUGCAUAAGCCAAAUUGUUUUCCUGUCAUGACUUCCUUAAUUUUGCACAAGAUGUCAGGUAACACUGCAUCCAAUUUUAUAUGAUACUGUUUAACCAACAGGCAUUAUUACUAAAAGAGAACCAAACACUGUCUUCACUAUUCAAAGAUGACACUGAUUGACCAUGAUCAAUAGAAAAUCCACCUCCAGUUGUUUUUCAGACAUGAGGAUGGAUUUGAGCAAAUCUUAGGGCCUCUUGGUUGAAAUUACCUCUCUCUCCUGGUUUCACUUCUAACCACAUUUCAGGCUCAAUGAAGUCUCAUCACCUUUAUCAAGUUUUAUGUCAACUCCAUACCCUCUUUUCUCUUACUUCUGUAAGAACUGUCUAUAUCUUCUUAGGCACUUAAUCAAGGGCAGUCAUGGGCAACUUUCCCAACUCAUUUCUUUACCUACAGAUGCAGUGAUUUACCAGCCAAGCUAUUAAUUCCCCAAGGGCACCAUUUUGUUAUGUUGGCUAUUCCUCAAAUCUUGAAUGUUUCUCCUCUUCAUUUGGUCUCCUACUUCCUUUCUUCUGAGAUCUUGCUAAAGCUGCAAUUCCGGGGUUCUGUCAUUGGCCCUCUUCACUCUCUACUUCUACACUCUACAUUCUCUCUAGGUCAAUUUUACUCAAUUCACGGCUUCAGUGACCAAAUUCUAUCUUUCAUGAGGUUGUGCUGCUAAGCCCCAGACCCAUAUGUUUUCUUACUUGACAGUUCCAGGUGAGUGACCCAAAGUCAUCUGGAAUUCAGUGUGCCUAAGCCUGACCCCACUGUCUUUCCCCUCACACCUGCUUUUCCUUUGGGGUUCCCUCCUCAGUGAACAACCCCACUAUCUGCCCAGCUCCUUAACUCAGAAAUCUGGGAGUCCAGUCUAUAUCCUCCCUCACUUUUACCCCACGCAACUAAAGGCCCCCUUCUACACGGCCCUGUGCUUUCUAUUCUCUUUACCAUUUCCAUUGUUUCUGUGUUGACCUAGUCCCUUCUGCUUUCAGAGUUAGACUAGACAAGAUGGUUCAUCUUCCACACCUUCAUAGACAACUUUUAGAAAGGCAAAUCUGUUACCAUCUCCCCACUAAAGAUAAAAUUGAGACUUCUGCCUUGCCUUUCUCUCACCUCAUCUCUUACACCUUGCCAAAUUGCCUAAAUGUACACAGAUGUGUCAUGACUUUUUUUUUUUUUUUACUUAUAAGCCUUCAUAUUACUGCCUCUGCCUGGAACCCUGCUUAUCUUGGUCUUCCUAAAAAAGUGGCUACUUCAGUACAAUUCAGGUCCUCUCUAAGGGAACCUUGUUAUGUCUAGCUUACCCUGUACCCUGGCUGCUCCCAACACACAUUUUCUUGUGUUUGUUUCAAAUGGUGCAUUUAUUUCAUGCAUGUAAUUCUUGGCUAUCUAGGGUGAACUCUUUGAGGGCAGGGACCCUGCUUUUUUCAUUUCUGUAUUCCUGGUCCAUGGCACACAGCAGAUGUUCAAUAAACACUGGGCGACUGAAAGAAGGAUAUAUCAUCCUUCUUAGGAUUUCUUCAUGGCUUAGCAGAGGGUUGGGUACAUAACUGAUACUGUCACAUGAUCUAACUACGUCCUGAAAUUCUAAACUUGCCAAGGGACUAAGAGAUUAGUCUGUGUCUAAUGGAGUUAACUAUCUCACCUAGCAAUUGUGCCAGGAAUACAAUGAGUUAAAUGAAACACAAAAUGUAAAAAGGGUAAUGCAUUUGCUAUAGUAAAAGGAAAGGUGGGGGGGUGGUUGAUAAAAAAAAAAAAAUCUGUUGUUACUACCCUGAAAAUAAACGACAGUAAGGUAUAAAAAAACAGAAGUUAAAUAGCUUAAUAAAUAAAUCCAAUGUAAAUAACUGUUUCCUGAACACUCACUAUGUUCUGGGCAUUUACUAAAUGCUUCUUACAACCAUCUUAUGUGAUGGGCAUUACACGAUCCCAUUUCUAUCAGUGGAAGCACUAAUGUAAAGAGAGAGGGUUAGCGGCGUGCCAAUGUUCACCCGGUAAUGGAACAGCACAGCUAAGGUUUGAACCCAGGGAGCCUACCUCCAGAGCCAGUUCUCUUACUCACUGUGUUAUGUGGGCUCUCCAUGGGAAGUUUCUUGUACAAGAUUAAUGACACAGAGUCUGCAUUAACUGUGGAAGGAGGACUGCAGUGCAGUAGUUUCUUAUGCAUUUCUUAAAAUUGCAAUAGUAAACAAAAUAUCCUAUUAUUAUUACAAGUUAGAAUAACUUACUGUAGAAAAUUUAGAACACACAUCACUAUAAAAAGGCAAUGAAAUCAUGUAAUAUUCAAUUGCUUGGAGAUAACCACAAUUUACGCUGAUGGUACAUUUUAUUCUGGUGAUUUUUCUGUAUAUGCUUUUCUAAGAUGUGGCUGAGACCACCACAGAUACUUCGUUCUCUGUCCUAUUGUGGGCACUGCCCCAUAUCAUAAAGAAUUCUUUGAAAAUACUAUUUAUAAUGGCUGCAUAACACUGCUGUAAUUUAUUUGGCUCUUUCCCUUUUAGAUAUUGGGUGUGUUUCCAAAAGUUUUGCUUUUUAAAAUGAGGUUGCACUUACCUUGUUGCAUUUACACACACACACACACACACACACACACACACACACACAAUCUUUGCUCACAUCUCUGACAAUUCCUAGAAAUGAAAGUGCUGAUUCAAAGAACAUACACAUUUUUGAGGCUCUUGAUGCAGGAUGAAAAUUGCUUACCUGAAAGGCUCAUUCAACCUUUCUUUUUUUUUUUUUUAGAAAGUGAGAGAGAGAGAGAGUGUGCAUGUGCACGAGUGGGGGAGGGGCAGAGAGAGAAAGAGAAUCUUUAGCAGGCUCCACACUCAGCACCGAGCCUGAGGUAGGGCUUGAUCUUAUGACCCUGAGAUCAUGACCUGAGCCAAAAUCAAGAGUCAGACGCUUAACUGAGUCACCCAGGCGCCCCUCAACUUUCAACGCUAUUCAUUUGAGUGUAUUGUAUGUCAGGCACUAUUAUACUGAUGCAAUUGGCAGAAUGACUUUGAGGGAGUGAUUUAAUUUCUCUGAUCUUCAAUUUCUCCAUCUGUAAAAUGAGGGUCAUGCCAUCUACCUUGUGUGGCUGUUGUGGAAAUGAAGACAAAGAUGUGCACAAAGUGCCUGUAGAUUCUCAGUGGGUGUUUGUUUCUCCACCUCCCCGAGACCACAUCUGUUCUCUAGGAAUUCGAAGAUGGUAAGAUCCCACCAAUUCCACUGCCUGCCUCCCUCUCUUCUCUCCUAUUUUGGGGCAAUGUGUCUUGAAGCUCACAGAAGACACUUCUCAGAUAGCCCUGUAUACCUGCUGUCAUAGCUCAGCGUGUUGCUCAGAGAGGGAGCUGAGCACAAACUCACUGAGUCAAGGCAUGCUCUACUCAAAGCUCGGGCCCAUAAUACUGUAUUGAGUUCAGUCUGGAAAUAAAACAGUCUCCCAAGGCAGAUAGAACAGUAAUUCUCUCUAAAGAGGCAGGAAGCAUAUUAAUACCCAAAUUUAUUCAAGCAGUCUGAGAAGAGGCUGUCAACCACAGCAAAUAAAGUCACCUGCCUUUUGAAUUACAGUCUCUGGAGAGUAGAGACCAGUUUUACUUCAUUGAUGUUGCAUUUAUAUCCAUUUCACUCAGUACAAAAAAAUAAAUAUAUAAAAUAUAUUAAAAAAUAAUA